CCCCAUUCCAGCGCAAUAAGGCCCGAUUAACGAAGUUUUGAAGCUCUCUAGCAUCAUCAAAAUCCAUAGCAGCAUUGUCGAAAUUAAGGUAGGGUGCGGUGAUCCAAAGGUUUUUCCAGCGCUUGGAUAGAAUCGUUGUCCUAACAACAUCAGUCAUAGGCAACGACCAAAAUAUGUGAAAUAUUAACGAGUCCGGCAACUCACUGAGUCGAUCCAUGAAACCCUCUGAAACAUAAUGAAGCAUCAAUGAAUGAAAUGUGCAUCAACAACUCAGAAUUCACCUUUAAUGGAAGCAAAAUAGCACAUUGACAAGAUUACCUCGAGAUGAACGCUUCUUCAUUCUCGCGCCAAAAAAACCCUUGCUUGAGCUGAUGAACAUAACACACGAGACUGAAAAGGCAUUAAAGUUGAAAAUUAAGCGUUGGGUCCCUAAAAUAAAUUCAUCUUUUUAGUUUUGGGACCUCCCCAAAUAAGUUUCUCUUUCUUUGUUUUUAUUUUUGGACAAUUAUCUCACGACUAAUAAUAAUUUAUUUAUUCUUACUUUUUACUUUUUCACCACUUCCAAUACUAAUUACUCCAUCCGUCCGCCAAAAGUAUUCCACAAUUACUAUAUUUGGCGUCAGCAAAAAGUAUUCCACUUUCCUUUUUAAGUCAUGGUCCCACCAUCCACCUUUAUAUUUUAUCCUUACAAACACUCUUUAUUUACAAAAAACUCACCUCAAAUUCAAUCUCAACCACACAUCUCAUAAAGUGGUGGGACCCUUUCUCCACUACAUCAACAUCAUCACCAAUUUUAUUAAACUCCGUGUCCAGCCAAAGUGGAAUACUUUUGGCGGACGGAGGGAGUAUAAUAUUUUUUCACCAUUCCCAAUACUAAUUACUCCAUCCGUCCCACUGCAAUAAGCUCACUUCUUUUGGGCACGGAAAUUAAGAAAAUUUACUUUUUAGUAGCAAAGUGGUAGUAAAGUGGUGUGGUCCACACCAAUUUAGUAGUACAACUUUUUCUUCAAAAUGGAAAAUGAGUUUAUUGGAGUGGGACAUCCCCAAAAGGAAAAUGAACCUAUUAGAGUGGGACGGAUGGAGUAUAGCAUAUUUUUUUCCACUAAUAUACUUUAUCACUUUUUCUUAAAAUUCGUGCUGUCCCCAAAGAGGAAUUUAUUUUGGGGACAGAGGGAGUAUUCCAGAAAUUUGAUGAUGAGAUUCUUUUGGUAAAAAAUUUUUAUAGGGGUUUUAACUAUUUUAAAGUGUUAUUCGUAUAUGUGGAAGAGGCAAUCUGUUUUUCAUUUUGUCACCAACCAAAACCAUUGGCAGAUAACCAUUUUAUCUCUCUUAAUUAAAAAGGGACUUUAAAAUUGGUUUUAAAAAUUUUUAUUUUCAUUUUACUUAAUAUACCUUUUUAUUUAAAACCAAACAUUUCAUUAAAUUUAAAAUUUAAGCAUUACAUUGAUUAAAAUAAAAUAUAAUAAUAAAAAUAUAUUACAAUAAUAUAAAUAAAAUGAAGAGUUGGAAGAGGAGUUGGAAAAAUAAGACAUUAUUAGAGGAGAAAAAUGAAAAAUAAAAGAUGAGUAGUAGUAAUUGAUAAAAUCGAAUAAAUGAAAUACCUAUUUAUAGAUAAAUUUUAUAAUAGAAAAAAGCGAAACAACAGUUGCAGUGACUAAUUAAAAAAAUAGACAAAAAAGAACCAUUGGGAUCAAUUUAAAAUUUAAUUUUAAAAUAGCACGCGCAUAGCAUGCGCCUCAUAUUUAUCGACGAAAAUCCGACAUGAGGCUUAAAGCUCGGCACGAGCUUGAGGUGCGGCACUAGGAGUAGGAGGGCAGUGCGGAUAGCUGUGCUCAUUGUGGCAAUUAGAGUCCCGUUGUGAAUGCUCUAAAUAAGAAUAUAUCUUAUACACUAAUAUAGUGACAUGUAUUUAUUCGUAUGUAUAGUAUUUAUAUUAGGUUCCUUAAGGUCUUCAUUAUAAUACUGUACUUGUUUAAUAUGUUCACCUCGAUCAAUUAACGAACAAGGAUAAUGCAUCAUUCAUUUUUGUUAGAGCUAAUUAGUUUAUUUAUAUGGUUUUAUCUUUUUUAUUAAACUAGCAGAAAUAGCGUCCAUUGUACGCAUAAUUAAUAUUAUUUUAUUUGAUAAAAUAUAAAUAUAAUAUUUAUUAUAUUUAAUUUUCAAUUAACAAUUUGAUCUAUUUAAUUUUUUUAAUUCUAUUAUUUAUCUCUUACCACGAUUAAUUAGAAAGAAUUGGUAAGACCGAGAGAGUAUAAUUAAUUGAUAUAUAUCACAUAAAUUUAGUGUAAUAUCUAAUGAAUUAAUAUAUUCUUAUAAAUAUAUAACAUGUAAAAUAACUUUAAAAUAAAAAUACAAUAGGAAUAAAAUAGGUCAUCCACAUAUUAUGUCUAAAGCACUUUUUAUAUAUUUUUAUAUAUUAGUAUAGAUAUAUUACAUUUAAGAGAAUAUAUAUUGUUAGUUUGCAUUUGUAACAUAUAUUAAUUUGGUUAUGGGCCGGAGUUUGGGCUCACCGUCCUUAAUUUUCAAGCUUCAAUAACUCUAUAAAUAGUAUCAAACCGCAAACACGUUUCUAUGAAAUCUAUUUUUUAAUGUUUAGAACUUAGAAACCCAAAAACUUUUUUAUUCCAUGGGCAACUCACUAUAAGAAGCUCCAUCGUGAUUAUGUUUUUUUUUUCCUUUAUUAAUUUAACACAAUAUUUAGUUGAUAACUAAGAAAAGAGGUGACAGUUUCAGUUCUCUUUUGCUUGAAUACCAACAGAAAUCUAAAUGAUCGACGUUUUAUAUGUUAGAGAAAUGAAAUUGUUAGCUAUCAUAUGAAGCACUAGAUUAAUUUGACAUUGGGAAGUAAAAGCAAGAUAAACAACAAUCUAGAUUAACAAGAGUGCUACUAAUGAAAAUUGCUCUGCUUCCCUAAAUAAGCAAAUAUAUAAAGAACAAUUGAAGACGAAACAAAAGGAUAUCAAGCUCAGCACAUACUGCAUUCCUAUGAUUGAAGACAUAACUUGGUAAGAUCAAUAUUCAAGAAAGUAAAUUGUGCAGUUCAUGAGGUUUCAUUCAUAGCACUAAGAAAUUCAUCCAAAAGUGUCGAACUGCUCUACUGCCCUGAAUAAGCAAAAUACAACAACAAAAUGAAACAAACAAGGUAACAAAAACUGAAACAGGGUUAAAGAAAAGUAAAAUCCAACUCCCCAGAUCGGAGCAUAAUGCCGUCAUUGCAAAAUAUUUACAGAAAAUGUACGACAAACGCUAUUACCCGUCCAAGAAGACAAUCAGCUAGUUACUUGGAGUCAUGUGGCAUUCCUAUGAUUAAAGACAUAACUUGGUAAGAUCAAUAUUCACAGAAAAUCAAUUGAGCAGUUGGGGAGGAUCUUGGCAUUCUCAGCAGUUUCUGUGAUGCCAAAAACAAAGAUCUUGGCAUGAUUCCUUCUACUCUGAACACCAGCUUUUCUAGAUUGCUUGCGUGUUUUAACAAAAACUCUAAAAACGGAAAUACGUCGUCAUCCUCAUCCUCAUCCCAAAUAACCUCAACUGUCCUCAACUGCAAAAAGGACUCGGGAGGAUAUGCUUCAAACUUGAGGUAGCUAUUGGCAUCAAAGUUGAGUGACUCUUGGUUUUUAUGCAUUUCAUAUUCUCCUCUAUCGUCAAGGACUAACUUCUUUAAUUGAGGAAAACUCUCAAGUAGACCUACUAAUAGUUUGUAGUCAUUGAAAUGAAAUCCAAGUUGCAAGGACUUGACAUUAGGAAAAGAGGAAUUCAUGCAUCUCUUAAUCAUAGCUCCAAGCACCUGAUGUCAAAUAAGUUCAUAAUAAUAAUCAGCUCACUGAUGCAAACACCAAGUAAGAUAAAAGGCAAGCAUUGAUUUUUAGGGAUGCAACAAUGAUUUCAUCAAAUUAAAAGAAUGUCAAACAUUACAUAUCAUUUAUAGUUAUUACAAUGCUAACAUACAAGUCACAAGCUUGAUGUUACAAAGUAAUGCAUAUAUAUAAAUUCUAGAAUGGAUUUAAAAAGGAUAGGAGUUAGUUGCAUGAUGAAAGUGGGAACUCUAAUAUACGUGGUUCACAUGCACACACUAAUUGAAGUUAGAAAUAAGAAAACAUGACUUAACAACUAUGCUCAAUAAAUAAUGAAAACUUCAUCAACAUAUUUAGAAUUAAUUUGAUCUCUUCAGCCUCAUUGCUACUCUAUUAAUACAUAACAAAUGCAAGACGCAUAAGAUAGUUUAAAGAAACCGAACCUUGAUGCAACAGAACAUUAAUAUGACGUUUUCAACAUGUUGGAUGGCUGAGAGAAUUUGACAGAACGCAUCUCCCAGAAAAUCAUCCGGGGUAAACAAGCCACGCUCAGUGUCUAUCCCGGGAAAGGAAUCAUAUACAUCAAAAUAAUGUAGACCAGAUAGCCCAAGAGUUGCGUGGGUUAAAGAUGAGACAUUAACCAACAGACACUUUUUAUAUGGAGCUCCUUCAAUUUCCAAGGUUUCAAGAUUUGGGGUACAAAUUAUCAGUUCUGAAUCCCAACAUUGAUAACCAAGAAGAGUAUAAUACUUUCGAAUCGACAGCACUUUCAAACUAGUAGAUCGGAAAGACAAGUUUUCAUACUCUCUAUCUGCAAAAGACAAGAUCAAGACUUCCAACCGAGGACUACCAGAUAAUAUUUGGUUAACCACAUGAUCAGUGACCCCAAAGCCAUCAAUAAUUGUUAAACUUUUGAGUUGAUUCCACUGCACAUCCCCAUAAACUCUAAAGUCUCUAAAGUUACAAUCCUCUAACCAUAACACUUUAAGAGAUGAGCACGAGUAUACACACUGCGGCAAACAGUACAUGUCGUCAAACAGAAUAUGCAAGUAUAAUUCUUCGACCCCCUUAUCCUUAGCAAAUUGAAGCCACAAAUCAAUACCCAAACAGAUGGAAUCAUCAAACUCAUAACCCGAUUUGAACUUGAAUUUCAGAACCCUUACCCCAUUCCAGCGUACUAAGGCCCGAUUAACGAAGUUUUGAAGCUCUCUACCAUCAUCAAAAUCCAUAGCACCAUUGUCGAAAUUAAGGUAGGGAGCGGUGGUCCAAAGGUUUUUCCAGCGCUUCGAUAGAAAUGUCGUCCUAACAACAUCAGUCAUAGGCAACGACCAAAAUAUGUGAAAUAUUAUCGAGUCCGGCAACUCACUGAGUCGAUCCAUGAAACCCUCUGAAACAUAAUGAAGCAUCAAAGGAAUGAAAUGUGCAUCAAAAACUCAGAAUUCACCUUUAAUGGAAGCAAAAUAACACAUUGUAGUAUCAAAUUCUCGAAGAUUACCUCAAGAUGAACGCUUCUUCGCUCUCGCGCCAACAAAACCCUUGUUUGAGCUAAUGAACAAACAAAGGAGACUCAAAAGGCAUUGUAGCAUUGCUGCCUAAAAGCGCUAAAGUGGAAAAUUAAGCUUGGAACUUGGGGUUUUAAAAUCGCAAAUCGAAAUAAAAGCUGCUAUUGCAUUCUUUUAUAGGGGUUUUAAUUUACGGUAAUGUUCUUUGAACAAAAUAUAUGUCCGCACAAAAAUAUGGUUAAAUAUUUUUAAAAGAUAAAUUUAUUUAAAAUUUUUGGUUCAAACAAAACAAGAAUUUUGUUAGUUUUAUUCAUUUCUCCUUAUUAUAUUUUUUGUAAUUAUUUAAUAAUAUUUUUAAUUUUUAUUAUUUUUAAAGUGCAAAAAUUACAAAAAAAGGAAAAUAAUAAAAAUUAAAAGAAUUGUUAAAAAAUUACAAAAAAAACUACAAUAUGAAAAAAUUAAUAAAGCUAAAUAAAUCCUGUUUGAAUUUGAACCAAAGAUUAUAAAUAAAUCAAGUUUUUUAAAUUUAUGACCUUUUUUUAUCAGAAUAAAUUUUGUCCAAAUAACACUGCCAUUUAAUUUAUUCUGUCACCAACCAAAACCAUUGGCAGAUUACCAUUUUAUCUCUCUUAAUUAAUACCUUCUCAUCAAAAGCGAGGUGGAUAUUUUUGUGAUAUUGGAGUAAUUACUAAUAGCAUCCACUUAAGAGCUACUACUUUAUAAGAAGGGACUUUAAAAUUGGUUUGAAAAUUUUUAUUUUUAUUUUAUUCAAAUUGAUUUCUUCAUUUUUGAAAUCAAACAUUUUAUUAAGUUUUAAAUUUAAACAUUACAAUGAUUAAAACAAAAUAUAGUAAUAAAAAAAUAUUACAAUAAUUAAAUAAAAUGAAGAGUUAGUUGGAAGAGGAGUGGGAAGAAGAAGACAUUUUAAAGGAGGAGAAUGAUAGAAAAUGAGUAGUGAGAAUUGAUGUGAAAAAUAGCAGAAAUGAAAUACUCAAUAGAUCAAUUUUAGAAUAAAAAAAAGUGAAACAACCGUUGCAUGACUAAUUAAAAGAAAUCGACAGAAAGAGCCAUUGAGAUCAAUUUAAAAUUUAAUUUUAAAAUGGUGUGCACAUAGGUUGAGCCUCAUAUUUCUAGACGAAAGUCUGACGUGAGGCUUAAAGCUCGGCACGAGCUUGAGGUGCGGCACUGGGAGGGCAGUGCGGAUAGUGGGGCUCGAUGUAGCAGGUACAGUCCCGUUGUGGCCCGUGUGGAUGCUCUAAAUAAAAAUAUAUAGUGUAUUUAUAUUAGGUAGCUUCCUUAAGGUGUAGUCUUCAUUAUAAUACCGCAGUCUUGUUUAAGGUUCACCUCAAUCAAUUAACGAACAAGGAUAAUGUAUCAUUCAUAUUUGUUAGAGCUAAUUUAUUAAUUCUAUUUUAUUUGUAUAGGUUUGUCUUUUUUAUUAAAUAUAUUAUAUUUAGGACAAUAUAUAUUGUUAGUUUGCAUUUGCAACAUAUUAAUUUGGUCAUGGCCGGAAAUAAUUUGGUUAUGGGCCGUUAUUUGGGCUCACCAUCCUUAAUUUUCAAGUUUCAAUAACUCUAUAAAUAGAACCCAAAAAUUGCACCAAAUAAAACCCCAAACACGUUUCUAUGAAAUCUAUUUUUUAAUGUUUAGAACUUAGAAACCCAAAAACUUUUUUAUUCCAUGGGCAACUCACUAUAAGAAGCUCCAUCGUGAUUAUGUUUUUUUUUUUUCCCUUUAUUAGUUUAACAGAAUAUUUAGUUGAUAACUAAGAAAAGAGGUGACAAUUUCAGUUCUCUUUUGCUUGAAUACCAACAGAAAUCUGAAUGAUCGACGUUUUAUACGUGAGAGAAAUGAAAUUGUUAGCCUAUCAUAUGAAGCACUAGAUUAAUUUGACAUUGGGAAGUAAAGCAAGAUAAACAACAAUAGUGCUACUAAUGAAAAUUGCUCUGCUUCCCUAAAUAAGCAAAUAUAUAAAGAAAAUUUGAAGACGAAACAAAAGGAUAUCAAGCUCAGCACAUACUGCAUUCCUAUGAAUAUGAUUGAAGACAUAACUUGGUAAGAUCAAUAUUCAAAAAAGUAAAUUGUGCAGUUCAUGAGGUUUCAUUCAUAGCACUAAGAAAUUCAUCCAAAAGUGUCGAACUGCUCUACUGCCCUGAAUAAGCAAAAUACAACAACAAAAUGAAACAAACAAGGUAACAAAAACUGAAACAGGGUUAAAGAAAAGUAAAAUCCAACUCCCCAGAUCGGAGCAUAAUGCCGUCAUUGCAAAAUAUUUACAGAAAAUGUACGACAAACGCUAUUACCCGUCCAAGAAGACAAUCAGCUAGUUACUUGGAGUCAUGUGGCAUUCCUAUGAUUAGAGACAUAACUUGGUAAGAUCAAUAUUCACAGAAAAUCAAUUGAGCAGUUGGGGAGGAUCUUGGCAUUCUCAGCAGUUUCUGUGAUGCCCGAAACAAAGAUUUUGAUGGACAUUUAGGUGGCAUGAUUCCUCUUACUCUGAACACCAUCUUUUCUAGAUUGCUCGCGUAUUUUAACAGAAACUCUAAAAACGGAAAUACUUCGUCAUCCUCAUCCUCAUCCCAAAUAACCUCAACUGUCCUCAACUGCAGAAAGGACUCGGGAGGAUAUGCUUCAAACUUGAGGGAGCUCUUGGCAUCAAAGUUGAGUGACUCUUGGUUUUCAUGCAUCUCGAAUCCUACUCUACAUUUAAGGACUAACUUCUUUAAUUGAGGAAAACUCUCAAGUAGACUUACUAAUAGUUUGUAGUCAUUGAAACAAAAUCCAAGAUGCAAGGACUUGACAUUAGGAAAAGAGGAAGUCAUGCAUCUCUUUAUCAUAGCUCCAAGCACCUGACGUAAAACAAGUUCAUGAUAAUAAUCAGCUCACUGAAGCAAACACCAAGUAAGAAAAAAAGGCAAGCAUUGAUUUUUAGGGAUGCAACAAUGACUUCAUCAAAUUAAAAGAAUGUCAAACAUUCCAUAUCAUUUAUGGUUAUUAGUUAUUACAAUACUAACAUACAAGUCACAAGCUUGAUGCUACAAAGUAAUGCGUAUAUAAAAAUUCUAGAAUGGAUUUAAAAAGGCCAAAAAAGGAUAGGAGUUAGUUGCAUGAUGAAAGUGGGAACUGUAAUAUAAGUGGUUCAGUUAAAGAAGCCAAUGAUGCAACAAAGAAAGCAUACAAAGACCACCAUGCCAUCCAAGCUGACAUGCAUUGAAGUUAGAAUUAAGAAAACAUGACUAACAACUAUGCUAAAUAAAUAAUGAAAACUUCAUCAACAUAUUUAGAAAUUAAUUUGAUCACUUCAUCCUCAUUGCUACUCUAUCAAUACAUAUAUAACAAAUGCAAGACGCAUAAGAUUAGUUUAAAGAACCGAACCUUGAUGCAACAGAACAUUAAUGUGACAUUUUCAACAUGUUGGAUGGUUGAGAGAAUUUGACAGAACACGUCUCCCAGAAAAUCAUCCGAGGUAAACAAGCCACGCUCGGUGUCCAUCCCAGGAAAGUCCACAUCGUAUACAUCAAAGCAAUGUAGACCAAAAAACGCAAGAGUUGCGUGGGUUAAAGAUGAGACAUUCACCAACAGACACUUUUUAUAUGGAGCUCCUUUAAUUUCUAAGGUGUGAAGAUUUGGGGUGCAAAUUCUCAGUUCUGAAUCCCAACAUAGUUCAGCACAAAAUUGAAAAUACCUGUGAAUCGACAGCACUUUCAAACUAGUAGAUUGGAUACACAAGUUUUCACCUAUAUCUAGAAAAGACAUGAUCAAGACUUCCAACCGAGGACUACCACACAAUAUUUGGUUAAUCACACGUUCAGUGACCUCAUCACCAUUAAUAAUUGUCAAACUCUUGAGUUGAUUCCACUGAACAUUCCCAUAAACUCUCAAGUUACAAUCCUCAAACGAUAACACUUUAAGCGAUGAACAUGAGUAUACACACUGCGGCACCCAGUAUAUGUCGUCAUUAUCAUUAAUUUCAAACAGAAUAUGUAAGUAUAAUUCUUCGACCCCCUUAUCCUUGGCAAAUUGAACCCACAAAUCAGUACCCAAACACAUGGACUCAUCAAACUCAUAAAUCGAUUUGAACUUGAAUUUCAGAAGCCUUACCCCAUUCCAGCGCAAUAAGGCCCGAUUAACGAAGUUUUGAAUCUUUGUAUCAUCAUCAAAGUUCAUGGCAGCAUUGUCGAAAUUAAGGUAGGGUGCGGUGGUCCAAAGGUUUUUCCAGCGCUUCGAUAGAAUCGUUGUCCUAACAACAUCAGUCAUAGGCAACGACCAAAAUAUGUGAAAUAUGAUCGAGUCCGGCAACUCACUGAGUCGAUCCAUCAAA
rnacentral:lncRNA from 1 species